AGGGUUUGAUUAUGGCUCAGAUUGAACGCUGGCGGCAUGCCUUACACAUGCAAGUCGAACGGUAACAGGUCUUCGGAUGCUGACGAGUGGCGAACGGGUGAGUAAUACAUCGGAACGUGCCCGAUCGUGGGGGAUAACGCAGCGAAAGCUGCGCUAAUACCGCAUACGAUCUACGGAUGAAAGCGGGGGAUCGCAAGACCUCGCGCGGACGGAGCGGCCGAUGGCAGAUUAGGUAGUUGGUGGGAUAAAAGCUUACCAAGCCGGCGAUCUGUAGCUGGUCUGAGAGGACGACCAGCCACACUGGGACUGAGACACGGCCCAGACUCCUACGGGAGGCAGCAGUGGGGAAUUUUGGACAAUGGGCGAAAGCCUGAUCCAGCCAUGCCGCGUGCAGGAUGAAGGCCUUCGGGUUGUAAACUGCUUUUGUACGGAACGAAAAAGUCUUCUCUAAUACAGGGGGCGAAUGACGGUACCGUAAGAAUAAGCACCGGCUAACUACGUGCCAGCAGCCGCGGUAAUACGUAGGGUGCGAGCGUUAAUCGGAAUUACUGGGCGUAAAGCGUGCGCAGGCGGUUAUAUAAGACAGAUGUGAAAUCCCCGGGCUCAACCUGGGAACUGCAUUAGUGACUGUAUAGCUAGAGUGCGGCAGUACGGCCGCAAGGUUAAAACUCAAAGGAAUUGACGGGGACCCGCACAAGCGGUGGAUGAUGUGGUUUAAUUCGAUGCAACGCGAAAAACCUUACCCACCUUUGACAUGUACGGAAGUCGCUAGAGAUAGCUUCGUGCUCGAAAGAGAGCCGUAACACAGGUGCUGCAUGGCUGUCGUCAGCUCGUGUCGUGAGAUGUUGGGUUAAGUCCCGCAACGAGCGCAACCCUUGUCAUUAGUUGCUACGAAAGGGCACUCUAAUGAGACUGCCGGUGACAAACCGGAGGAAGGUGGGGAUGACGUCAAGUCCUCAUGGCCCUUAUAGGUGGGGCUACACACGUCAUACAAUGGCUGGUACAAAGGGUUGCCAACCCGCGAGGGGGAGCUAAUCCCAUAAAGCCAGUCGUAGUCCGGAUCGCAGUCUGCAACUCGACUGCGUGAAGUCGGAAUCGCUAGUAAUCGUGGAUCAGAAUGUCACGGUGAAUACGUUCCCGGGUCUUGUACACACCGCCCGUCACACCAUGGGAGCGGGUUCUGCCAGAAGUAGUUAGCCUAACCGCAAGGAGGGCGAUUACCACGGCAGGGUUCGUGACUGGGGUGAAGUCGUAACAAGGUAGCCGUAUCGGAAGGUGCGGCUGGAUCACCUCCUUUCU
rnacentral:rRNA from 1 species